GGCACUUUUACGCAUGCUAACAAGGUCCCUAGAAAGAUAUCUUUCUCUUCUCCAAAAAUCUCUGUGACAGUCUCUAGCACUCAUUCCUUCUCAGCUUCUCUUCUUUCAGAUCAAUAACCCUUCGAUUCCUUUUGGAUAAUGUCUGAAAAAUCUUAGCUUUUGAUGGUGAUAUCUUCAAACAGAUCUGCUUCCCCUAUUUCAAACAGUAAAACUAACCUCAAUAAUCCAAGAACCCCAGUUCGGAUCAGAAGGAGUUUCAGUGAAAUCAAGUAAACAGCCCUUUGUUUGUUCGAAAGAAUGAGUAUAAAGAGAAUGAACAAGAUCAGAGUUUGAAGUCUAUAAAGAUAAGAUCAUCAUCACCUAUUACUAAGCAUUUCAUGACUCCAACAAUCUCUACGGUUUCAGAAUUUGCUGCUACUUAGUGGACAAGAAUGAACCAGUUAGGGUUUCUGAUUAUAGAAAGUUACCAUUUGCAGAAAAGAUUGAAUCAUGUUCUGAUUCGGUUAUUUUCUUGUUCUCAGGUAUUACUCCCAAAAGUUUCUUCCAUCGAAGAUCUUUCAUUUACUGAAAUUGUUGAUUCAGAUUAGGGAUUAGCUUCUGGUUCUCAGGUACCCCAUAAAACUAGCAUGUCUUCAAUUUCAGAUCCCAUUGAAAACCCCAUUGUUAGAUUAAUGAAUCACUUUAUUCUUCCGUAACUGAAGAUAACCAAUUAAAACCAGAUGAAAACUUUGUUGCCAAUUUAACUAUGGUAAACAAAGAGUACCGAACAGCGGACUGGGGUGAGAAUGCAAUAGAGGAAAAUCAAGAAAUGAAUGGUUUUGGAUCCCAAUAGGAAAUAGAAGCUAAUGAGGAAGUGAACCAGGAAGAAAACAGUUGAUUGAUUGUUGAAAAAGAUGACAAGAGUUAAGAUUUGGCUGAUUUUGAUUCCGAAAUGAUAAAAAAAGCCCAUGGUGAUCCAUGAAAAAGAUGGUAUUAAACUUCCUCAGCAUAAGUUAGAGGAAAAGAGUCAGAAGAGAGUUGUUUACUAGCUGCUGGGUUAAGGAGAAGAUGGGACACUUGGUAUAUAUGCUUAAACCCGAAAUGAUAGAAGACUCAGUAGAGUUCUACGAGAAAGAUGGUCUUGAUAUCCUCCAUAAAGACGUUGACACUGCAAAUUUAAAAAUCAGUCAGCAUAUCUCUGAUUCUGAUAGUUCUCAAAGCUCCUAAAUAGAAACUGAUCCGUGCAGCCAUCGAUAUGGUGGAUGCUAGUUUCAUUUUCUCUCUCUUUUUUCGCUCUCUAAGAAAAACAAAUCACACACUUUACAAAUUACAAGUAUCAGCUAUGAGACCUCGAAUCAGAGGUUGGAAUGGUCAUUUAUGAUUCUCAAGUUCCCAUUGGUGCUACUCCAGAAUACAUGGCUUGUUACUACAUGCUGUAAGCGCAACCUCCUUUUACCUGUUAUGGCCCUUGCUCCUGAAGAAAAUGAUAGGGUGGUAGAUAUGGCGAUUGCACCUGGUGGUAAAACAACCUAUACUGCAGCUCGCAUGUAGUACAGGGAUACACACUUGUCACUCAUUAUUCCAGUAAUGUACAUGUAGUCGGAAUAUUUUUGCUUGAUACAGUUUCAUCUAAUGGCCAGCUUUCACUAUGAAUGAUCUAGUACCAAAUCUCACACUUACUUUUAAGGUUUUCGUUUCCUUAUCUAUUUAAGUUUCCACUGUCACAAUAAACAUGCUAAUAUGCUGAAUCUAUCUUUAAUGGUAAAGGUUAGUGAUAAAACUUGAACUUACCCAUGGUCAAUAGUUGAGGUUUUUCCGGUCUGUCUUACCAGUUGUCAAAAAUUUACAGUCACUAGUCGAAAACUGGUUCCCGAUUUUGUCUACAUACUGUGCUACUUAGUAAUGAGCUGCUCGUGACAGGAUAUAGGGACAAUACUAUAAGUUAAGAAUAGGUGACUACAUAUUAGUUGGAUUCUUUACAACGUGAAACCUUUUUUAAUCUAGUUACAUUUUAUGAGGUGUGCAUAUACAAUUAUGGCAUGCAUUUUUUUGACUGAAUUUUUAUAGAGCUACCCUUUUCUUUGGAUUUCCGAGAUUGACUUCUACUUUUGGUAUCCAAACACACUCCUGACUUGUUUACUUCUUUGAAGUCAAAAAAUAACAUCUCAAGGAGAGGAUGUUUGGAUACCAGAAGCAGAAGUCAAUCCCAGAAGUCAGCAGCAAAAAGUUGGCUUUCACUUAUAGAAGUCAAUCAAUCCCAAUUUUAGUUGCCAACCUAACUUCUGACUUUUUGCUUCUAGAAGUUGAAGAACAACUUCUGAGAAUGCAUUCAAACACCUUUAGUUCCAAACUAACUUUUGACUCUUCGACAAAUAUAUCAUUGCAUGCAUCAGAAUUUUCAUGUCUGUCUGUCUGUCGUUUUGUUUUUACCCCCUUCAGAUGCAUGUUAGUGCUCAGUUUCUUACCCUCUUACUCUCAUCAGAAGUUGUUUAUGCAAAUGAGGUAAAGGAAUCUUGACUCAAGUCGCUUACUGCAAAUUUGCAACGGAUGGGAGUGACUAACACUAUAACCAAGUUGGGAAGAAGAAACCGAUCCAAGCAGCCAUUGGUAUGGUUGACGCUAGUUUCAUUCUCUCUGUUUUUUCGCUUUCUAAAAAAGACAAAUCACACACACUUUACAAGUAUCAGCUAUGAGACCUCGAAUCAGAGGUUGGACUGGUUGUUUAUGAUUCUCAAAUUCCCAUUGCUGCUAUUCCAGAAAACAUGGCUGGUUACUACAUGCUGUGAAGUUCAUAUGCAAUCUAUUUUAUACCAGUUAUGGCCCUUGCUCAAGAAAAUGAAAGGGUAGUAGAUAUGGCGUAAGUACCACACACUGUUCAUAGGUGCAUCCUUAGUUUAUUGGUAUUUUUAUUUUCAUACUGAUUCACCAUUGAGCAACAGUAAACAGAAUGUAGUACGGUACUGCGGUUGAGCAUACUUUUCUAGUUUGGACUUCGAAUGUGUUUGAUAUUCCUCCAGUUUAUAAAUACGUGUUUAUUCAAAUUUCCAAUGUUUAGUUCUGUAGAAAAAAGUAGUCUUCUUUAACUGUA